rnacentral:rRNA from 1 species
UACGAAGGGGGCUAGCGUUGCUCGGAAUCACUGGGCGUAAAGGGUGCGUAGGCGGGUCUUUAAGUCAGGAGGUGAAAUCCCAAGGCUCAACCUUGGAACUGCCUUUGAUACUGGGGAUCAUUGAGUCCGGGAGAGGUGAGUGGAACUGCGAGUGUAGAGGUGAAAUUCGUAGAUAUUCGCAAGAACACCAGUGGCGAAAGGCAGGC